UACGGUGUACGGAGCUGUGACUACAAAGAUUUCUCUCGAAACCCCACGAACGCGACCACCGCCUCCCCUCCCCCUUCCCUCGACCGCCGUGACGCCGCCCGCGAAUCGCGCGAUGGUGACCGACGCCGCCGCGAUGGCCGUCGUGAAGGCGGCGCGCCCGGCCUUCCGCGGCGCCCACGACGGGGUCGCCUUCGCCGCCAACGCCGCGUUCCUCGCCGCCGGCUACUCCCUCUGCGCCGUCGGCCCCGCCGCGCUCACCGACCCCCCGCCCUCAGGUGAAGAGGAGGUGGGGAUUGAUGGUUGGAACAGCAUGGAUAAUUGUUAUGCAUUUUUGUACAUCAAGGAGGAGAGGGGCAAGAAGAAACGGGUAUUGGUAAAAUGUCUGGUGAUCGGUGAUGUCCUUGCCAUUGAUGUCCUGGAUCUUGAGUCACAGAAUAAAGGCCCUUAUAAUAUCCAGAUCAAUGUGAAGGAUUUCUUCUCCGAGGAGCAGCCAAAGAACUAUGGGAACAUGUACAAAAACUUUGCAGGCUUAAUUGAGACCAUGAACUCAAAUGCAUUGAGCAAAUUGGAUGAGAAGGAUGCUGGUGCUGCCAAGAACCCUGAGGUUGAGACUAGCUCAUCAAUACACAGAUCUGAAAAUCCAGGCCUGAGAACUACUGAACCUGGCUUGGUUUAUCCUCCAAUAGCUCCACUUGGUCAUGAUGAUGCCUUCCCUGGCCCUGGCGCAGGCUUCUAUCCUCAUAGUGGUAUUGGUGGGGGUGGCAGCAUGCAUGUUGGUCCAAACGAUCCACGCUUCUUUCCUUCUAAUCCCUUCCCUGUGCCCUUUGGUGGCCCUGGGUGGUCGUUAUGAUCCAAUUGGUCCACCAGAUGUUCCAGGAUUUGAACCUUCUCGCUUUGUGAGGCGUCCGAGGCCUCCAGCUGGGACUACUCACCCAGACCUUGAGUUCUUCCAGCCGGGGCCGCACGGGCCCUUCUGAGAUUCAGAGGCCCACCUCCUCCCCACCGUUUCUGAAUAACCCUGCCUUGCUUCUCAUGCUGAUCCAAAGAGCAGUUUGUGAGAUAGAACUGCUACAAUUGCGAAUAGCCGUACCAGACUCUGCCUGUAAAAAAUUGGAUGCGAACUCCUGUAUCUGUCCUCAGUUGCAGUUUACCAUAUACUAGUAGUAGUAUGCUAUUGUAUCAACCUAUCUUUGUCACCCUUGCACACCUGUACUAAUAGUGACCUGUGGGGUGGAUUGCUGAUGAAAUGCAAACCCUCCUGUGGAAAAAAAAAGCUUCUCCUGUCGUCUCUCGCAGGUGCAUCUUCAGCAA